GACGAACGCUGGCGGCGUGCCUAAUACAUGCAAGUAGAACGCACAGGAUGCACCGUAGUUUACUACACCGUAUUCUGUGAGUUGCGAACGGGUGAGUAACGCGUAGGUAACCUGCCUGGUAGCGGGGGAUAACUAUUGGAAACGAUAGCUAAUACCGCAUAAGAACAUUUACUGCAUGGUAGAUGUUUAAAAGGUGCAAAUGCAUCACUACCAGAUGGACCUGCGUUGUAUUAGCUAGUAGGUGAGGUAACGGCUCACCUAGGCGACGAUACAUAACCGACCUGAGAGGGUGAUCGGCCACACUGGGACUGAGACACGGCCCAGACUCCUACGGGAGGCAGCAGUAGGGAAUCUUCGGCAAUGGGGGGAACCCUGACCGAGCAACGCCGCGUGAGUGAAGAAGGUUUUCGGAUCGUAAAGCUCUGUUGUUAAGGAAGAACGAGUGUGAGAAUGGAAAGUUCAUACUGUGACG
rnacentral:rRNA from 1 species